GGAGUUGGCCAGACAGCCGCUUCCCGGCCACGUUCGCCGUGGCCGAGGGGAGGAAAGUCCGGGCUCCGCAGGGCAGGGUGCCAGGUAACACCUGGGCGGCGCGAGCCGAUGGAAAGCGCCACAGAAAAUAUACCGCCUAAGUCUUCCUGAUUCAUUUCAGGUGACCGGUAAGGGUGAAAUGGUGCGGUAAGAGCGCACCGCGCGGGUGGCAACAUCCCGUGGCAGGGCAAGCCCCACCCGGAGUAAGGCCAAAUAG
rnacentral:RNase_P_RNA from 1 species